rnacentral:ncRNA from 1 species
UGCGCAGCGCAUGGCGGAUCACCACAUCGCGGAAGCGCACGCCUUUCAGCCGGGCGGUGCGGAUAUAUUGCUGGGUCAUCACCUCGGCCAUCGAGGCGCGGGUCAUCCGGGCGAUAUAACCAAUGCCGUAAAGCGCAAUGGUCAUCACCGGCAGAAAGAAGUUUUCAAAGGUGAUCUCG